UCUCGGCGUUCAGCGUGCUGUGUGGAGCUCGCAGUGAGCUGAUCUCAGAGCGAGGCGUCUGCUGCGUGUUCUGGCUCAACGUGGCAGCAGCUCUCAUCCAGAUCCUGACAGCCGUUAUCAUGGUGGGGUGGAUCAUGAGCAUCUUCUGGGGAAUGGACAUGGUCAUCCUGGCAAUUUCUGAUGGCUGUAGAGACCAGGGAGUUCCUCAAGAUGUCUGAGAAGCUGUUCUUUCAUCCGCUGAUGAAUCUCACUAACAGUUUGACCUGUUUACCCCUGAAGCCAAACAGCAACCAUGACAAUAAUCCACAGCCCACCACCACAACAACAACAACAAAGGCAUAAACACGAUACGAACUGACUGUCUUUCAGGAAAAUAAAACAUAUUGGCUGCUGAUUGGUGGACACCAGACUGUAUUUACAUUUAUAUUUUAAU